rnacentral:lncRNA from 1 species
CCAAAUCCACACUCUAACCCUAACAAAAUUAUUUUCCACACAAUCACAGAUAAGUCCCUAAAUGCAAACUAAAAGUUUGGAAGGAGCCCUUACCUUAACGUUAGCUUUAACGUGCGAACACGGUACCGCGAGUAAAUCCGGUGAAAUCUCCGCUCGUGACGUCGCUUCCAAGUUAGUCCACUAGCACCGUAGUGUGGUGGUGAGCAACUUUCUCUUCUAUCUCUUCG